GUAGGGUGCAAGCGUUAAUCGGAAUUACUGGGCGUAAAGCGUGCGCAGGCGGUUAUGCAAGACAGAGGUGAAAUCCCCGGGCUCAACCUGGGAACUGCCUUUGUGACUGCAUGGCUAGAGUACGGUAGAGGGGGAUGGAAUUCCGCGUGUAGCAGUGAAAUGCGUAGAUAUGCGGAGGAACACCGAUGGCGAAGGCAACCCCCUGGACCUGUACUGACGCUCAUGCACGAAAGCGUGGGGAGCAAACAGGAUUAGAUACCCUGGUAGUCCACGCCCUAAACGAUGUCAACUGGUUGUUGGGAGGGUUUCUUCUCAGUAACGUAGCUAACGCGUGAAGUUGACCGCCUGGGGAGU
rnacentral:rRNA from 1 species